CGGGUUCGAACGAGAACUGUUGUACAGUGCAAAAUUAUAUCAAAGCAAAAGUAAUCACGGAGCAGUUUUAUUUCAACUGUUCAUGAGAAGGGUAAACCUGAUCAAUGUUACCCCGCUGAUCAAUGAUACCCCGUUUUACGGUACCGCUUUUAAUCGCAAUUCUGCUGACUGCGCUAACUACAUCUGCCAUCGCUGUUAGUGUGCAAUAUUCUGACCCCUACAUCAAUUUCUACGGUUGGCAGCAUCACCAGCAUUCCACGCAGUUUAUUCUUCACAAUGGUUUAUUCUCAGAGCUCGCGAACAAAACAACGAUCCGAAUAGAAAGCGGCAGCCCGUCAGAUAAUAAUCUUUCUUUGCUUCAGAGUUUUUGGACAAAACGUUUGCUAAUUCGACAGGGAAUAAUGAGAAACAUUGCUUUCCCACUAUCACCUAAAUAUUUUUAUGCGUAUGACGCUCCAAUUGAAAAUCUGCUGAUUGAAUCACAUGGACAUUAUCAGAUGGAGGAGUUGAGAUUCUAUGCUGGUAAGCUUUCAAGGCUACCGGCGAAUUUGGAUCGUCUCCGGGCGCUACGAGUUUUGUUGAUUAAACAUAAUCAAAUUGAUUCAAUAGAUAUGAGUGAAUUUAAAAACUUGGAAAAUUUAGAAGAAGUUUCCCUUGAAUACAAUCAUAUUAAUAUUAUUCAAACCACAUCAACACUAAGUUUGCCGGUCAUUCAAAAGUUUUCUUUGUUGCAAAAUAAUUUAGCUCAAUUGGACAUCUGUUUGUGUGAUAUGCCAGCCUUAGAAACAUUCGAUACUAGUGGAAAUAAGUUGCAACACGUCGCGUGUUUGGAUUCCCUGUUUCCAGAACUACGCUUUCUCCGUAUAUAUGAUAACCCACUUGACUGUUCAUGGAAAAGAUCGAUGUUGAGAGACAUGACAAGAGCCAACACAAAAGUAGAGUUCUUAUCUAAAGUGACUUGCGUGUUAUGCCACUAGCAACGAUGUAACUUCGGAGCCAGAAUGUUGAAUGAAAAUCAUCAAGCAUUUUUAACAAAUGUGUACUCAAAAUUAUAAGUCUUUUGAGAAAAAU